CACACCAACACUGGCAGUUUAUCCCACUAAUCAGAGGUCUAGAAGGAGUCAUAGUACCACUAAUCAGAGGUCUAGAAGGAGUCAUAGUUCCACUAAUCAGGAGGUCUAGAAGGAGUCAUAGUACCACUAAUCAGGAGGUGUAGAAGGAGUCAUAGUUACACUAAUCAGGAGGUCUAGAAGGAGUCAUAGUUCCACUAAUGAGGAGGUCUAGAAGGAGUCAUAGUUCCACUAAUCAGAGGUCUAGAAGGAGUCAUAGUACCACUAAUCAGGAGGUCUAGAAGGAGUCAUAGUUCCACUAAUCAGGAGGUCUAGAAGGAGUCAUAGUUCCACUAAUCAGAGGUCUAGAAGGAGUCAUAGUUCCACUAGUCAGGAGGUCUAGAAGGAGUCAUAGUUCCACUAAUCAGGAGGUCUAGAAGGAGUCAUAGUUCCACUAAUCAGAGGUCUAGAAGGAGUCAUAGUACCACUAAUCAGGAGGUCUAGAAGGAGUCAUAGUAACACUAAUCAGAGGUCUAGAAGGAGUCAUAGUUCCACUAAUCAGAGGUCUAGAAGGAGUCAUAGUUCCACUAGUCAGGAGGUCUAGAAGGAGUCAUAGUUCCACUAAUCAGGAGGUGUAGAAGGAGUCAUAGUUACACUAAUCAGGAGGUGUAGAAGGAGUCAUAGUUCCACUAAUCAGAGGUCUAGAAGGAGUCAUAGUUCCACUAAUCAGAGGUCUAGAAGGAGUCAUAGUUCCACUAAUCAGGAGGUGUAGAAGGAGUCAUAGUUCCACUAAUCAGAGGUCUAGAAGGAGUCAUAGUACCACUAAUCAGGAGGUCUAGAAGGAGUCAUAGUUCCACUAAUCAGAGGUCUAGAAGGAGUCAUAGUACCACUAAUCAGGAGGUCUAGAAGGAGUCAUAGUAACACUAAUCAGAGGUCUAGAAGGAGUCAUAGUUCCACUAAUCAGAGGUCUAGAAGGAGUCAUAGUACCACUAAUCAGAGGUCUAGAAGGAGUCAUAGAACCACUAAUCAGAGGUCUAGAAGGAGUCAUAGUACCACUAAUCAGAGGUCUAGAAGAAGUCAUAGUUCCACUAAUCAGAGGUCUAGAAGGAGUCAUAGUACCACUAAUCAGGAGGUCUAGAAGGAGUCAUAGUUCCACUAAUCAGAGGUCUAGAAGGAGUCAUAGUACCACUAAUCAGAGGUCUAGAAGGAGUCAUAGUAACACUAAUCAGGAGGUCUAGAAGGAGUCAUAGUACCACUAAUCAGAGGUCUAGAAGGAGUCAUAGUUCCACUAAUCAGGAGGUCUAGAAGGAGUCAUAGUACCACUAAUCAGGAGGUCUAGAAGGAGUCAUAGUUCCACUAAUCAGGAGGUCUAGAAGGAGUCAUAGUUCCACUAAUCAGGAGGUCUAGAAGGAGUCAUAGUUCCACUAAUCAGGAGGUCUAGAAGGAGUCAUAGUUCCACUAAUCAGAGCUCCUAAAAUGACACAGGCAUGGAAAUCGUUUCUGAUAACUGAAAUAAAUAAAUGCAAUAUCAUAGAACAUUUAUUUUAGUCGGAUCAACCUGCAUAAUUAAUAAUAUUGUAGUUUCUUAUCCAUGGAAUCUAAUUUAGUCCAGUAUUUUAGAUCAUUAAUGUGUUAUUUUAUAGAUUAAAAAUCAAUUUGUAGAAUUAAAUAAAACAAAUUAAAACAGGAGAACAAGUAGAAAGAUCCGUUUCUAAAAUAAAAUCAUUAAGAAGCGAUGAAAAGAGUUUGUCUGGAGUUUGCUCUUGAGUGUCAAACUGAACCCACCCGGUCUGAUAACUCGGAUCUAAACAUCUGAACAUCUGCACAGAGACUCACCUCUGAUCUGCUCAGCCUCAAGGAUUUCUGGGUUCAGAUUUAUUCUCACCUCUUAGCCUGAGGCGGAUCAGACGAUCUGAAAACAGACGAAUCUUCUGCCUUUAUGUUGGUGAACUCUGAGUCUGUCUGCAGCUGGUUGGUCAUCAGUGGAUGAGGAUCAGCUGAGUUCAGGUAGGAGGAGGAGAUUAAGCCUCCUGUCGUCCUGCGGGUCAAAUUGACCCGUUUAAAA